CCAUUGAAUAGCUUAAGUGGUUAAAGCAGAGGGUUCACCCCCUCUUUCGCGGGUUCGAAUCCCGCUUCACAUGGU
rnacentral:tRNA from 1 species